rnacentral:rRNA from 1 species
CCUACGGGAGGCGGCAGUGGGGGAUAUUGCACAAUGGGGGAAACCCUGAUGCAGCGACGCCGCGUGGGUGAAGAAGCGCCUCGGCGCGUAAAGCCCUGUCAGCAGGGAAGAAAAUGACGGUACCUGAAGAAGAAGCCCCGGCUAACUACGUGCCAGCAGCCGCGGUAAUACGUAGGGGGCAAGCGUUAUCCGGAUUUAUUGGGUUUAAAGGGUGCGCAGGCGGAUUUUUAAGUCAGCGGUCAAAUCGUGGGGCUCAACCCCAUCCAGCCGUUGAAACUGGGGAUCUAGAGUGUGCGAGAGGUAUG